GUAGGAUGCUUUGCGUUGUCCGGAUUUACUGGGCGUAAAGCGCGCGCAGGCGGCAUGGUAAGUAAGGUGUGAAAUCCAUCGGCUCAACCGGUGGGGUGCAUUUUAGACUGCCAAGCUUGAGGUCGGUAGAGGGGGGUGGAAUUGCUGGUGUAGCGGUGAAAUGCGUAGAGAUCAGCAGGAACACCCGUGGCGAAGGCGGCCCCCUGGGCCGUACCUGACGCUGAGGCGCGAAGGCUAGGGGAGCGAACGGGAUUAGAUACCCCGGUAGUCCUAGCAGUAAACGAUGGCCACUAGGUGUGGGGGGUGUUGAUCCCUGCCGUGCCGAAGUUAACGCGUUAAGCAUUCCGCCUGGGGAGUACGGUCGCAAGGCUG
rnacentral:rRNA from 1 species